rnacentral:rRNA from 1 species
GACUUCUGGUUUAAUGCACCUGGCCCGCGGCCCACAAGGCUGAGUGCCGGCGCGCGUUUACCAUCCUUCCAGCAACGGCUACCCUUAACUGGGCGGCUGGAACUGGAUCUUUUACUUUGAAAAAAUUAGAGUGUUUAAAGCAGGCGUUUGCUCUGAAUACAUUAGCAUGGAGUUGGUUUCUAUAACUGAAGUAAUGAUUGAUAGGGAUAGUUGGGGGUGCUAGUAUUGGCCGGUCAGAGGUGAAAUUCUUGGAUUCGGUCAAGACUAACUUAUGCGAAAGCAUU